CCCUUAGUUUGAUCCUGGCUCAGAACAAACGCUGGCGGCGUGCCUAACACAUGCAAGUCGUACGAGAAAGUUCGCUUCGGCGGAUGAGUAAAGUGGCGAACGGGUGAGUAACGCGUGGAUAAUCUGCCCUUUAGUUGGGGAUAACUCAUCGAAAGAUGGGCUAAUACCCGAUGAUACUGUAUUCACUGCGGUGAAUACAGUCAAAGGAGGCUUCUGUUUACAUGCUUUUGCUGAAGGACGAGUCCGCGUACCAUUAGCUAGUUGGUAGGGUAAUGGCCUACCAAGGCAACGAUGGUUAGCUGGUCUGAGAGGAUGAUCAGCCACACUGGAACUGAAACACGGUCCAGACUCCUACGGGAGGCAGCAGUGAGGAAUUUUGCGCAAUGGGGGAAACCCUGACGCAGCAACGCCGCGUGAGUGAGGAAGGCUUUCGGGUCGUAAAGCUCUGUCAGAUGGGAAGAAAUGCAGUGAAGUUAAUAUCUUCUCUGCUUGACGGUACCAUCAGAGGAAGCACCGGCUAACUCCGUGCCAGCAGCCGCGGUAAUACGGGGGGUGCAAGCGUUGUUCGGAAUUAUUGGGCGUAAAGAGCGUGUAGGCGGCUGGAUAAGUCAGAUGUGAAAGCCCUGGGCUUAACCCAGGAAGUGCAUUUGAAACUGUCCGGAUAGAGUAGGGGAGGAGGAAAGUGGAAUUCCUGGUUGUAGAGGUGAAAUUCGUAGAUAUCAUGAGAACACCGGGUGGCGAAGCGACUUUCUGGGCCCUAUACUGACGCUGAGACGCGAAGCGU
rnacentral:rRNA from 1 species